UACGGGGGGAGCAAGCGUUGUUCGGAUUUACUGGGCGUAAAGGGCGCGUAGGCGGUCACUACAAGUCAGUUGUGAAAUCUCUGGGCUUAACUCAGAACGGUCAACUGAUACUGUCGGACUAGAGUGCAGAAGGGGCAACUGGAAUUCUCGGUGUAGCGGUGAAAUGCGUAGAUAUCGAGAGGAACACCUGCGGCGAAGGCGGCUCUCUGGUACGUGACUGACGCUGAGACGCGAAAGCGUGGGGAGCAAACAGG
rnacentral:rRNA from 1 species